rnacentral:rRNA from 1 species
AAAUCUACAAGGUCUCCGUUGGUGAACCAGCGGAGGGAUCAUUACUGAGUUAUCAAAAACUCCAACCCUUUGUGAAACCUACCUAUGUUUCCUCCGGCGUACCGCUGUAGCCUACCCGCAGGGCUCCCCCUUAGGGGGGUUUUGCUGGGGAGGUGCCUGAGUGCUACCUAUCCUUCGGGGUACGGUUAGUGCAGUGAAGGUGCCGACCAAGGCCUCGGCGGCGCCGAGUAGGACCGCUCCAAACUUAAGCACUUAGUGCAUCCAACCCCGCGUUGAACAACUAUCGAAAAUUUGCUUUUGCUUUUUUUCUUUACGCUAAAACGUCUUUCCCCGGUUGGAAUUAUUGCUCGAAAUGAUAAUUUCCUUACCCUGUAGUCGUUUGUUUUCAAGCUACAAUAUAUCUGCUCGAAUAAAAUUGCUUCAAUAUUUGCUCGAAAAUUGUUCAAAGCUCUGAGGGGUCUGAAUGAAUUCAUAAAAUUGGCAAAAGCCACCUAUAAACUACGGUUUUUAGGGGGUGAUCAAACCAAGGUUUUAAAAACCAAAUACGUUAAAACUUUCAACAACGGAUCUCUUGGUUCUGGCAUCGAUGAAGAACGCAGCGAAAUGCGAUAAGUAAUGUGAAUUGCAGAAUUCAGUGAAUCAUCGAAUCUUUGAACGCACAUUGCGCCCAUUAGUAUUCUAGUGGGCAUGCCUAUUCGAGCGUCAUUAUAACCCUUAAGCCUUGUUGCUUAGCGUUGGGAAUCUACCCCUCACUGAGGGGUAGUUCCUUAAAUGUAGUGGCGGGGUUAUAGCACACUCUAAGCGUAGUAGUUUAACUCGCUUUCAGGGAGGCUGUAGCUGCUUGCCGUAAAACCCCUUAUAACUUAUAGUGGUGACCUCGGAUUAGGUAGAUGUCACCUUAU